AUUGAACGCUGGCGGCAUGCCUUACACAUGCAAGUCGAACGGCAGCACGGAGCUUGCUCUGGUGGCGAGUGGCGAACGGGUGAGUAAUAUAUUGGAACGUACCCAAGAGUGGGGGAUAACGUAGCGAAAGUUACGCUAAUACCGCAUACGAUCUAAGGAUGAAAGCAGGGGAACGCAAGGCCUUGUGCUCCUGGAGCGGCCGAUAUCUGAUUAGCUAGUUGGUGGGGUAAAGGUCUACCAAGGCGACGAUCAGUAGCUGGUCUGAGAGGACGUUCAGCCACACUGGGACUGAGACACGGCCCAGACUCCUACGGGAGGCAGCAGUGGGGAAUUUUGGACAAUGGGCGAAAGCCUGAUCCAGCAAUGCCGCGUGUGUGAAGAAGGCCUUCGGGUUGUAAAGCACUUUUGUCCGGAAAGAAAUGGCUCUGGUUAAUACCUGGGGUCGAUGACGGUACCGGAAGAAUAAGGACCGGCUAACUACGUGCCAGCAGCCGCCGUAAUAC
rnacentral:rRNA from 1 species